CCCUUAGAUGUUCUGGGCCGCACGCGCGCUACACUGUUCGACGCAGCGAGUUUUAACCUUGACCGAAAGGUUUGGGUAAUCUUCAGCAAAGUCGAACGUGAUGGGGAUCGAUCAUUGCAAUUAUUGAUCGUGAACGAGGAAUUCCUAGUAAGUGCAAGUCAUCAGCUUGCGCUGAUUACGUCCCUGCCCUUUGUACACACCGCCCGUCGCUACUACCGAUUGAAUGGUUUAGUGAGAUCUCUGGAUUGACGCUGGCUAGGGGGCGACCCUUGGCCAGACUGCUCGAGAAACUGCUCAAACUUGAUCAUUUAGAGGAAGUAAAAGUCGUAACA
rnacentral:rRNA from 1 species